rnacentral:rRNA from 1 species
GCAGCAGCCGCGGUAAAACGUAGGUGGCGAGUGUUGUCCGGAAUUAUUGGGCGUAAAGGGAGCGCAAGCGGACAUAUAAGUCCAUCUUAAAAGUGCGGGGCUCAACCCCGUGAGGGGAUGGAAACUGUAUGCCUUGAGUGCAGGAGAGGAAAGCGGAAUUCCCAGUGUAGCGGUGAAAUGCGUAGAUAUUGGGAGGAACACCAGUGGCGAAGGCGGCUUUCUGGACUGUAACUGACGCUGAGGCUCGAAAGCCAGGGGAGCGAACGGGAUUAGAUACCCGCGUAGUCCCUGUCUCUUAUACC